AAAAAAGAAAACCAGCCACUACAGGCUAACUUAUUAAACCUUCAGGUAGAUAUUGCUAAUCAGUCCUAAUAUCUUUCAGCCUGAAAUGGAAGAUUUCUGAAUCACUCUGUCACACUCUCAGGGCUUACAGGAGUUACAGAGUUCUCCUGAAGUCGGGCGCCUGAGCUGUAGCCCUCAGGGGGAUUUUGCUGGCUAUCCCCAGGUUUGCCCGGAAUGGCCUGUGGCAAUUUGGACUGACUGCACAAAGGGGAACACAGAUUAAAGUUACAAGGUCCUUUUCAAGUGGAACAGACAAAAUAGGCCUAGUAUCUUCAAACAGAAG
rnacentral:lncRNA from 1 species